AUUGAUUUCGCAGUAAUGUCAUACUAAGAUGCGUCUGUCGAUUUGUAUUCUAUUGCGAUGACCACCAGAACACUACACAUAUUUUUUAUUUGUCCUGUUUUUUUGUUUCUGGCAACACACGUCAUGUCUCAAGAAACGUCAACCCUAACGCCGACAUCAACAAGCACGCAACUUGCGCAGGAGGUGUCACCUGUAGAUUACCACGACCAGACAGAAUCUCAUGAAGAAACCACACCGAUAACCUACUUGCCUCCAACUGAAUAUAUACCAACUAGCCCUACCAUAUCGACGAGUGCUGAAACAGAAUACACUACGAGUAGUACCACUACUCCUGCAUUGCCAACAACAACUGAAGCUGUACAAAUCAGUUGUACAUGUCCAGAAAUCUAUGAUCCAGUGUGUGCGUCCAACGGAAAAUCUUUUUUUAACGUGUGCCAGCUGAAUUGUGAAAUAUCCGCUGGAGCGACGCUGUCUGUAGUGUAUGUAGGAAAAUGCGUGCCGUUUUGAUUUCAAAAAAAUAAUUGGAUGUAUUUUUUUUAAUACGGAUAUGUUACUUCCAUAGAUUAACAAAAAGAAAAAAAAAUCAGCUCAUUUAACACAAAGAAAAAUAAAACAUUUUUAUGCUAAUAACUCUAGAUGUGAUUACAGGCGCCAUUUUGAAUAGUUUCAAAUGGCCGAGUUAUUAAUAAAAUACAUUUUUAAGUACCUUUCAACUGAAUAAACAGAUCUUAAUUGGAUUUACAAACA